rnacentral:rRNA from 1 species
UACGUAGGGCGCAAGCGUUGUCCGGAAUUAUUGGGCGUAAAGAGCUCGUAGGCGGCUUGUCACGUCGGAUGUGAAAGCCCGAGGCUUAACCUCGGGUCUGCAUUCGAUACGGGCUAGCUAGAGUGUGGUAGGGGAGAUCGGAAUUCCUGGUGUAGCGGUGAAAUGCGCAGAUAUCAGGAGGAACACCGGUGGCGAAGGCGGAUCUCUGGCGAUUACUGACGCUGGAGGAGCGAAAGCGUGGGGAGCAAACAGG